AAGGACGCGUAGGCGGUUUAGAAAGUCAGAUGUGAAAGCCUAUGGCUUAACCAUAGAACUGCAUUUGAAACUUCUUAACUAGAAUGAGGGAGAGGUCAGUGGAAUUAGUGGUGUAGGGGUAAAAUCCGUAGAGAUCACUAGGAAUACUCAUAGCGAAGGCGACUGACUGGAACUUUAUUGACGCUGAGGCGUGAAAGCGUGGGGAGCAAACAGGAUUAGAUACCCUGGUAGUCCACGCCCUAAACGAUGUACACUAGUUGUUGCGGUGCAAGUCAUCGCAGUAAUGUGGCUAACGCAUUAAGUGUACCGCCUGGGGAGUACGGUCGCAAGAUUAAAACUCAAAGGAAUAGACGGGGACCCGCACAAGCGGUGGAGCAUGUGGUUUAAUUCGAAGAUACGCGAAGAACCUUACCUGGACUUGACAUCCUAUUAAUGAUUUAGAGAUAAGUUAGUGCUAGUUUACUAGAAAAUAGUGACAGGUGCUGCACGGCUGUCGUCAGCUCGUGUCGUGAGAUGUUGGGUUAAGUCCCGCAACGAGCGCAACCCUCGUCGUUAGUUGCUAACAGUUCGGCUGAGCACUCUAACGAGACUGCCUGGGUAACCAGGAGGAAGGUGAGGACGACGUCAAGUCAUCAUGGCCCUUAUGUCCAGGGCUACACACGUGCUACAAUGGUUAGGACAAUGAGACGCAAUACCGCGAGGUGGAGCAAAUCUAUAAACCUAAUCUCAGUUCGGAUAGCACUCUGCAACUCGAG
rnacentral:rRNA from 1 species